GAUGAACGCUGGCGGCGUGCCUAACACAUGCAAGUCGAACGAAGACAUACCGACGGAAUCCUUCGGGAGGAAGAUGGUAUGGACUGAGUGGCGGACGGGUGAGUAACGCGUGGGUAACCUGCCCUGUACAGGGGGACAACAGUUAGAAAUGACUGCUAAUACCGCAUAAGCGCACAGUACCGCAUGGUACAGUGCGAAAAACUCCGGUGGUACAGGAUGGGCCCGCGUCUGAUUAGUUAGUUGGCGGGGUAACGGCCCACCAAGACGACGAUCAGUAGCCGGCUUGAGAGAGUGAACGGCCACAUUGGGACUGAGACACGGCCCAAACUCCUACGGGAGGCAGCAGUGGGGAAUAUUGCACAAUGGGGGGAACCCUGAUGCAGCAACGCCGCGUGAGUGAAGAAGUAUUUCGGUAUGUAAAGCUCUAUCAGCAGGGAAGAAAAUGACGGUACCUGACUAAGAAGCCCCGGCUAACUACGUGCCAGCAGCCGCGGUAAUACGUAGGGGGCAAGCGUUAUCCGGAUUUACUGGGUGUAAAGGGAGCGCAGGCGGUGCGGCAAGUCAGAUGUGAAAACCCGGGGCUCAACCCCGGGACUGCAUUUGAAACUGUCGGACUAGAGUGCCGGAGAGGUAAGUGGAAUUCCUAGUGUAGCGGUGAAAUGCGUAGAUAUUAGGAGGAACACCAGUGGCGAAGGCGGCUUACUGGACGGUAACUGACGCUGAGGCUCGAAAGCAUGGGGAGCAAACAAGAGGUAGAUACCCUGGUAGUCCACGCCGU
rnacentral:rRNA from 1 species